GCUAAACAUUGAGGAAGUGAAGAGAGAGGAGACAGAAUACAGAUCUAAGAGGAGACGGAGAGAUUCAGGGAGGAGCUGAGCUGUUACUGAACUAUAGAAGAGAGAGGAACUUCCAUAUUCAGCAGAGUUCAAUACACAAACCACAAACAUUACCUUUAUUCAACAUGCUGUCACUGGACUAUUAUGGGCUGUCUCUGAUGUUUCUCUCUAUUAUAACAGGUGUCAGUUGUGAAGAACUCAGUCCAGUCAAGAAUGAAGAGUCCAGUUUAGAAGACAGCACUGUUACUCUGUCCUACACAUACUCCAAACAAGCAACUGCUGGAGAUCAGUUUUACUGGUAUCAACAAUAUCCAGGAAAACCUCCAGAGUUCCUCAUCUCUCACACUGGAACAGGAACACCAAUAUCUGAUCGAGUCUCUAGACUGUCCUUCAACGUGAGUGAUGAUAAAACCAAAAUGCAUCUGCAGAUCUCCUCUGCUGCAGUGACAGACUCUGCUGUGUACUACUGUGCUGUGAGGCCCACAGUGACAGGAAACACCAAAACUCUGUACAAAAACACAAGCUGACACACUGACAAGCUGCUGGAAGCCUUUUUUCUUCCUCACUGUUGUUCUGAACUUUUUACCUCCACUAGAGGGCGACAUCAUCCAGUAGGCGGUGCACUACUUCUGCUCUGUGUUCAACCAUUCUGUCAAUAAUAACUGCUGCUGUGAAGAGAACAACUCUCACACUGAAUGUUGAACAGCAGCUAGUUUCUCCUGUUCAUUUAAACCUUGUUG